rnacentral:rRNA from 1 species
CCUACGGGGGGCUGCAGUGAGGAAUAUUGGUCAAUGGGCGCGAGCCUGAACCAGCCAAGCCGCGUGAGGGAAGACGGUCCUAUGGAUUGUAAACCUCUUUUGUCGGGGAGCAAAAGACGCCACGCGUGGCGUUCCGAGAGUACCCGAAGAAAAAGCAUCGGCUAACUCCGUGCCAGCAGCCGCGGUAAUACGGAGGAUGCGAGUGUUAUCCGGAUUUAUUGGGUUUAAAGGGUGCGCAGGCGGAAGAUCAAGUCAGCGGUAAAAUUGAGAGGCUCAACCUCUUCGAGCCGUUGAAACUGGUUUUCUUGAGUGAGUGAGAGGUAUGCGGAAUGCGCGGUGUAGCGGUGAAAUGCGUAGAUAUCGCGCAGAACCCCGAUUGCGAAGGCAGCGUGCCGGCUCCACACUGACGCUGAGGCACGAAAGCGUGGGUAUCGAACAGGAUUAGAUACCCUGGUAGUC